GGGACCGUGUUCUAACGGGAAGAUGCUGCCCUCGCACGGCGGCGAUGAGGGUUCGACUCCCUCCGGCUCCA
rnacentral:tRNA from 2 species